AGCGAACGCUGGCGGUAGGCCUAACACAUGCAAGUCGAACGGCAGCACAGGAGAGCUUGCUCUCUGGGUGGCGAGUGGCGGACGGGUGAGGAAUACAUCGGAAUCUACUCUGUCGUGGGGGAUAACGUAGGGAAACUUACGCUAAUACCGCAUACGACCUACGGGUGAAAGCAGGGGACCUUCGGGCCUUGCGCGAUUGAAUGAGCCGAUGUCGGAUUAGCUAGUUGGCGGGGUAAAGGCCCACCAAGGCGACGAUCCGUAGCUGGUCUGAGAGGAUCAUCAGCCACACUGGAACUGAGCCACUGUCCAGACUCCUACGGGAGGCAGCAGUGGGGAAUAUUGGACAAUGGGCGCAAGCCUGAUCCAGCCAUACCGCGUGGGUGAAGAAGGCCUUCGGGUUGUAAAGCCCUUUUGUUGGGAAAGAAAUCCAGCUGGCUAAUACCCGGUUGGGAUGACGGUACCCAAAGAAUAAGCACCGGCUAACUUCGUGCCAGCCGCCGCGGUAA
rnacentral:rRNA from 1 species